UACAUAGGGUGCAAGCGUCGUCCGGAAUUAUUGGGCGUAAAGAGCUCGUAGGUUGUUUGUCGCGUCGAUUGUGAAAAUCUGAGGCUCAACCUCAAACCUGCAGUCGAUACGGGCAAACUAAAGUGUGGUAGGGGAGACUGGAAUUCCUGGUGUAGCGGUGGAAUGCGCAGAUAUCAGGAGGAACACCAAUGGCGAAGGCAGGUCUCUGGGCCAUAACUGACACUGAGGAGCGAAAGUGCGGGGAGCGAACAGGAUUAAAUACCCUGGUAGUCCGCACCGUAAACGGUGGGAACUAGUUGUGGGAACCUUCCACGGUUUCCGCGUCGCAGCAAACGCAUUAAGUGCCCCGCCUGGGGAGUACGAUCGCAAGAUUAAAACUCAAAGGAAUUGACGGGGCCCCGCACAAGCAGCGGAGCAUGCGGCUUAAUUCGACGCAACGCGAAGAACCUUACCAAGGCUUGACAUAUAGCGAAAAGUGGCAGAGAUGUCAUGUCCGCAAGGGCGCUAUACAGGUGGUGCAUGGUUGUCGUCAGCUCGUGUCGUGAGAUGUUGGGUUAAGUCCCGCAACGAGCGCAACCCUCGUUCUGUGUUACCAGCAUUCAGUUGGGGACUCACAGGAGACUGUCGGGGUCAACUCGGAGGAAGGUGGGGAUGACGUCAAAUCAUCAUGCCCCUUAUGUCCUGGGCUGCACGCAUGCUACAAUGGCCGGUACAAAGUGCUGCGAGAUCGUAAGAUUGAGCGAAUCACAUAAAGCCGGUCUCAGUUCGGAUUGAGGUCUGCAGCUCGACCUCAUGAAGUCGGAGUUGCUAGUAAUCGUAGAUCAGCAACGCUACGGUGAAUACGUUCCCGGGGCU
rnacentral:rRNA from 1 species